AUGUCAUUCCUAGAAUCAGCUGGACUCACAUAUAGUGCUUAGUAUUCAUUGGGCUUCUCAUUUUUCAUUCAUUUUCGUUCAUUUUUCCUGAUGUUGCUAUUACUCGGUAUUGCUACAUCAAUCCCUAUAGCUUUCUUCUUCUCUUUGUUCACCACUACUAUGUCUGUUGGUUAGCCAUCAACAGCUUGUCUAUAUGUGAAAGUCCCACAGUCAUCUUCUACCACCCUAAGAGGCAUUUCCCAUUUUGAUCUUGGGAGUUCCAGGCCAUACCCUGGUGCAAGGAGUUAUGUGACGAGGAUGUGGGGCCAAUGGAUUCUUCAACACCCUAACAUCAAAACAACUAGUAGCUCAGUGUUCCAACAUCUGUGAGAAGCAACUGAUGCUACAAAUGCUAGGAGGAGCCAUCAGACGUCAGGUCAGUGGACGGAUGACAUCAUCACUUAUGGAACAACUUAUGGAACAACUUUUAUGUUCACUGUGAGAGCAGCUGACCUGAAAGAAAAUACUGUGGCUAAGCUGGAAUCCUGGACUCCUCUGUCUUAUCAAGAGUACGUGAGGCACCAUUUGAAAGUCUACUAGAAGAUAUAAAUGCAGCAUUAUGGACAAUCCCUACUGCCACCAACCAGGUGAUCUAUCCCACAGCAACAUCAGCUGAGAUGCUAGGCUAUGAGAUGAACAACAGCCACGAGGACCAGGACUAUCCAUUGAGAAGAAGACUAGAGGCCUAGAUCAGGGCAGUAUGGAGGGAUGGUUGACCACUAUGGGAACUGCAGAAAUGCAUGCUGUAGAAAGGGUACAACUAAGUACUAAGAAGUACAGCAAGCUGCCUAUACCCAAGGCUUUAGAAACUGCCAAUCAAAGACUCACAGUGUUGACUAACUGUUUGAAGAGAUAUAACAGAGAGAUAGAGGCUAGAAGACUAAACCAGCUGUUCUUCACUGAAUCAUCCAAGGUGUACUCUCAGUAGCAGUGGAAUAAUAUGAGAUCACUCCUGAAGAGGCUGGAGACAGAGCAAUAGAGGAAGAGGACAUGACAGAAGAAUGCAACACAUAAGAACAAUGCUCAGUGGAUGGUGGAUGUUUGAGUUGUGACCUGCUAACUAAAUUUGCAUGAUCCUGGACUAUCUGGAGGGGCCAGGAUUGGGGUUGGAACCAUCAACCCGGACCGAACCACCCAACCUACCACCUGAGCUACACACCCCACAUUGUGUCUUUGGUUCUGUCUCCCUCUCCUCACUUCCACUGGCCACAGCAGAUGGCUGCCUCUCCUUGAGCCUGGUUCUACCAGAGGUUUCUUUCUCUUAAAAGAG